rnacentral:rRNA from 1 species
UACGUAGGGUGCAAGCGUUGCCCGGAUUCAUUGGGCGUAAAGCGCGCGCAGGCGGCCCACCAAGUCCCGCGUGAAAUCGCCCGGCUCAACCGGGCGGGGUCGCGGGAGACUGGGGGGCUCGAGCGAGGGAGGGGGCAGUGGAAUUCCCGGUGUAGUGGUGAAAUGCGUAGAGAUCGGCAGGAACACCCAGGGGGAAACCAGUCGACUGGGCAUCUACUGACGCUGAGGUGCGAGAGCGUGGGGAGCGAACCGG